rnacentral:rRNA from 1 species
UACGUAGGUGGCAAGCGUUGUCCGGAUUUACUGGGCGUAAAGAGCGCGCAGGCGGCUCGGUAAGUCUGCUGUGAAAUCUCCCGGCUUAACUGGGAGGGUCAGCGGAUACUGUCGGGCUUGAGGCAGGUAGAGGAAGGUGGAAUUCCCGGUGUAGUGGUGAAAUGCGUAGAUAUCGGGAGGAACACCAGUGGCGAAGGCGACUACCGUGGCCUGUUCUUGACGCUGAGGCGA